rnacentral:lncRNA from 1 species
UUCAUUUUGUCUUUACAAUAUGCUCUACAGUUAUCUACUCAUAUUAUUAUCUAUAUUUUAUUCAUCAAUGGUCCAAGGAUUUCAUUCUCCAAUACAUUUUGAUGAUAUAAAGCCAUUAGAUAUGUUGAAACUCAAGGAUUGGCCAGAAAAUGCAAUGGUUAUUGGACCAUGGUUAUGUGAUCCAAAGAGAUUCCCCAAUUUUGAUGGAUUUUGUCCAUCUUACGCAGAGUGCAAUCAUGGAAUAUGCUUGCCAAGGAAGUCGUGUAUAGCAAGAUCCCUUAGAAUGGAUUUUUUUUGGAAGAUGUAAUCCAAUAAAAACAUUUAAUUUAAAAUAAUAUAUCAAAAUUGAAUUAAUUUUGUAGUUCAAAGUUAAAGUCCAAUUGAAAAAUAUAUGAUGUAUUAGGUCACAAUCGUAUUAAUUACCUAAUUUUCUAUUAAAAAACACCUUUAUUUAUUAAACAAAGUAAAUGAAUCCUCCAAAACCUUACCGUAACAAAAAUAAAAGCUUAUAGGGGAAAAUACAGAGUGAAUCAAUUAAUAUAUCAAGUAUCGCAAAUGUAUCUUUCGUGAUCAUUAGUAAAUAUACACAUUAACUUUUCUCAUUGUAAA